GAAGGUGUAGCUCAGUGGUAGAGUGCAUGCCUAGCAUGCAUGAGGUUUGAUUCAAUCCCUAGUACCUCCA
rnacentral:tRNA from 1 species